CUACGGGGCGCAGCAGUGAGGAAUAUUGCACAAUGGGGGGAACCCUGAUGCAGCAACGCCGCGUGGAGGAUGACGCAUUUCGGUGUGUAAACUCCUUUUAUAUGUCAAGAAAAUGACGGCAGCAUAUGAAUAAGCACCGGCUAACUCCGUGCCAGCAGCCGCGGUAAUACGGAGGGUGCAAGCGUUACUCGGAAUCACUGGGCGUAAAGGACGCGUAGGCGGGUUGGCAAGUCAGGUGUGAAAUCCUACAGCUUAACUGUAGAACUGCACUUGAAACUUCUAAUCUAGAGUAUGGGAGGGGGAGAUGGAAUUAGUGGUGUAGGGGUAAAAUCCGUAGAUAUCACUAGGAAUACCUAAAGCGAAGGCGAUCUCCUGGAACAUUACUGACGCUAAGGCGUGAAAGCGUGGGGAGCAAACAGGAUUAGAUACCCCGGUAGUC
rnacentral:rRNA from 1 species